rnacentral:lncRNA from 1 species
GUUAUGACUGAGGAAGAAUAUCACUGAGAUAUGAUUUCUGACACACUUUUGUCAUAAUGGCCAAUCAGCUCAUGAUGGCAACCAUAAAAUUGAGUGAUGACCUUAAUUUGAUGAUUCAUAGCCCUGUCUUAGCAACUUUUGAGAAAGCAGUAUUCCUCGUUCAACAAAAUCAGCGUACUUUGAGCUAGCUCUAGAGUAACGUAUCAAUAUUGAGACACAUUUACUCCAUAUGCUGGUGCCGCUUUUU